GGCGGCGGCCCCGACCCUGCGCCCCGCCCCGGCCGCCCCUCUCGGGGCGAGAGCUGACUCGGUGCCCGGCGCCGAAACUGGGCCGCUGCCAAAGCGGCGGGAGGUCGGGGUCCGGCGCGCAAUUUGAGGCCAGGGACAGCGCUGCAGAGGCUUUUGGAGCGGCCCGCGCUGAGUGCAGCCAGGCCACACGGUGCCAGCGCAAGGGCCGCCCCUCCUCUGGGAACGAAAUGUGUGCUAUGCCGGCCCCCCUGGCUGUCCUCACGCCGCGCCUGCCACCGUGCUAUUUGUGGCGAGGAGGGCGCGCUGGGAGGACCUAGCCCGGGAAGGAAACUUCAAGCACGCGUCCCAGUUACGCAGGGGAGCUGCAGCCCAGGCCUUACUUGGCCCUUUUACAGCUUGUGUUCAACUCUCCUUGCUAAAUAACCCUGUAACUGUGGCGAACCUUGCCCCACCCUCCAGACACCCACAUAGCCUUCCCUCUUGCCCACUGACAAGCCCAACUUUGAUUGCUCGGCUAGCAGCGUCUGAAGUUUGCAUUGCGUUUCAGAGUUUGCAGAAAUCCGUGGGUGGUGGCAGGUGCCGUGUGCUGCUGAGCUAUAUCCCCAGCCCACCUUUCCACAUUUGGUGACCUUGAGGAUGUUCUGAGCGGCUGCGAGGUAAUUAUUGUUCUGCUCACAGUACAAUAAGGAAACAGGCCCGGAGAGCCAGGCCUGAGCACCGAGCCACUGCUGCAUGCCAUUGUCUGCCAGCACAGCCGGAGUAGGAACCCAGGACAUCCCAGGAGAGCAGGGGCCUGGAAGGGGCAGUCUGCAGUGACAGGGUCCUGCCACUCCAUGCAGGCAGCAGAUUAGAUGCCAGAAGCAGGCAUUUGCAGGUGGCACUGUGCAGAGAGCUUGUGACGCUGCCUGCUGGCCCAGCCCCUGACUGUGGUGCUCUGCCUUGGAUCUGGGGUCCAACUAUGCCCUUGAACCAUCCACAGGCUCCACGGGUCACUGGUUGCCCUCCGCUGAGCCUUCUGGUGAGUUGGAGUUUGUGUCCUGGGUGUCAUCCGCCAGGCAGUGUCCUCUGAGCACCUGGAAGCAUGCCCCAGUCAGGUGGUGCAAGUCCACGGGGCAGGGGUAGGUUUUAUUUGCUGACGGCAAACGGAGCUGCUGGUGACUUGAGACCGGAUCCUACAUGAUGAACAGGCCGUGGGCACAUGCCUGGCUGCUGCUCCAGGGCUGACAUCAAAACCUCGCUGAUCCAGGGGACAAAGUAUUUUUCCAUGAAGGCAGGAGGCUGACAGCAGCAUGGAAAGGCUGCUGGCUCUACCUUCAUUGUGUGGGUGGAGAAACCAAGGCUGGGGGUGAUGACCACUCUCAGUCAGUCUCCGGGAGGUUGUGGGAACCUCUCAGGGUGCAAACCCACUCUGCCCAGGGACCCGAGCCACAACCUGGGGCAGAGGCCACCUGCUGGCUCCAUACUUCGGCCAUCCCAGCCCUGGCACUCCCAGGGGGGUGGCAGGAGCAGGAUCCACAUCUCUGGCAGGAGAGAGGAGCCAGGCUGCAGGGGAGGGGAGAAUGGGGCAAAAUGGGCAGGGGUGAGUCGGUGGCCAGACUGCCAAGGCCAGGGCAGUGUGUCUCCAUCCAGACAGGAAAUAAUAAAGGUACUCAUCGGGCAGCGGCUGGCCCUGGAGUGGCCACGGGCAAAGCCAUGUGCUCAGUGUGUGUCGGCGGGAUCUGCAGCUUCUCCAGAUCCUGCUGCCACCUUGGACGCGCUGUCCUUUCAAUGAUUAACCUGCCUUGGCCAAAGUUUGUAGGUGCUUUGCUCCUCGUGGGCCCAGCAUCUGUCCUCGUGGUUCUCGGCAGGCCACAGCGGCCUGCUACCCUCCCUGAGACAGAGGCCUCCCUGUGUCCCUUGUGCCUCUGUCCCCACUUGGCUCCAGGUGUGGAGGCUGCGUCAUCAUCGGUGUCUUCUAUCCAGUCCCACGCACAUCUGGAGCUCCGGGCCCAGCGUCAUCUGCCAGCAGCCAUGGGAGUCUCGCUGCCAAGCACGAUGUUCCAAUGGAUUCUGUCCCUAAAGAGGCUCCGGCUUGCACGGAGAGGACCCAGGCGGGGGCCUGGCCAGGUGGGGGCCGGCGAUGUGCAGCAGCUGUGGUCCCCAAGCACAUGGGACAGAGCCCCCUCCGUCCCACGGAUGCUCUCCGUGUGGUUUCACUUACCCGUGGUUAAUUGCAGUCUGAAACUAUUAAAUGGAAAACUCUAAACGA